CAUGUAUUCUUGAAAAGACACUAUAACAUGAAAAGGAAUUAAGGACUACAUGAGAUGUUCUGAAGUGAAUACAGUAUAUAAGCAGAAUAUAAAGAUUCAUUAAACCUGUAGAAUGGUAUGCUGGCUAUCACCACAAGUUGGUGGGCUAGCUGGGUGGGUUCAAGACUCGCCUCCUACUUAAUUCCAUUGAUAUACAAGUCCUUUAUUUUAUAUCCAACAAAAUGGUACGCGGUCGAUCAUUGUGUUUUUCCUUUCAUGUCCUCUUUAUGGUAAAGUUUUCUAUUUUAUUUGCAUUAGUAAGGUUAAACAGAGCUUGAUGUGUAUUCUAGUUUAUGGCUUUAUAGUUCCUGUACCACGUUGUUAGAAGGUUUUAUUCAACGAGUGAAUGAGAAAAUGGGUCAAUUUAUUAUGAAACUGCUAAUUGACAGGCAAAAGCAUCUCAUGUUGAAUUCUUCAGGUCUCUUGACCAAGCGCAGAUCAUUUAAAUUAUGAGAGCAAGUUGGCUUCAUCACAACGACAAAUUCAGGUAUUGUCUAUUUAAAAAGACGGAGAGAAAAUGAUGAUUCACUUAGCAGUAGUUACUAUCUGUUGGAAACUAUCAAAGGAAGACGCCAUAACUUAUCCAUCCAGCAAGCAGGAGGAUUGGAAAUGGAAGGCCCAGAAUUACCAUAGAGGUCAACGAAUGGGAGAGCAUGCCAAGGUCUGAAGUAGCCGGAGGAUUGGAGAGCAGUGGCCUCAUCGAUGUACGACAUGACGAGCCCGAUGGACGGGCCCCUCCGGUUGACCCUGUCAACCUGCCAACGCACCCUUUCCAUCUCAGGCUGCACCGGCAAAGCUAUGGAGGAGCCUGCCAGCAGGAAGAGCAGUAGCAGUGCCAGAUGAUGGUGGCACCUCCUCAGGCUAGAGAGCUCCAUGGCCAUUGCUAGCUGCAACUGCAGAGCUAGAUUACUGGAUCUGUGUGAGCUUGGAGCUGCUGAGUAGUAGCAACCUUUAAAUAAAGUCCAAUUAAGGGGUUGGUACAGUUGAUGCAGAACGUGAUCAGCGUGCUCAAAUUUAGUAUAGUAUGUAAAUGAGCUGGGUGAUGAAAAAGGACCAACUAGUGCACGCUUAUGUACUAAUUAAUAUGAAAUUCUGGAUGUGUUUGGCAUCAGCAUCGGGUACCCUGAACGCAAGACCAUUGACCCGGUACAGUACCAGCAAAAAGAGAACAGGGCCAAAUGUAAGAGGUCACAAGGAAAAGGAGGCUGCCUGCAAUUGCAAAAGCAAUCCUCAGUGUUUGAGGGCACAGUGACCGUACCUGCAAACUGCACAUCUGCUUCUUCAGUGCUAGACUCGUAGUAGAUGGAUCAUGGGUGGAUUGAAUUAACCAGGGAGAGAUCGGCUUGCCUUUCAACAUCUCAGUUGCCACUAUUCCACAUGGGGUGAAAAGAAAGGAAAAAAAACAUGCUCUGAAUCUGAUCAAUCAUGGGCCAAUGGAGUGCUAAAUCAUAUUCCUAUCAUACCCUGGACCCUCCUGCCUGCCUGGUUGCUCCCUUGUGCAGGGGCCCCACCUGGCAGUGACACAGGUGGCACGUCGUCGUCUCGUCUCAUCCCUGUGGACGGUUGGCACGGCUGCACGUCGCCCUCUGACGAGUCGCUUUCGUCUGCUUGGAGCUAGCUUUGCUUGCCGCUCCAGCUGGUUAAAUAAAGUUCACUGCGUGCUUUCGGUGCAAAUUAAAGUAAAAUGGCACAGGUCAGUACUGUACAGCUUCUACCGUGCAUAGCGUUUACAUUAGCCAGAAAAAAAACAGGAAUGAUUAAAGAGAGGAGCAAGAAAAGCACUCAGCAUCAUGGGAUCAAAUCAUCAAACACCUAUGGUUGAUUACUAAUGCCAUCAUAAGCUCUGAUCUAUCAUUAUUGUGAAGCCUUCCCAAUCCCAAGUGUGAACUCAAGGUUUGGUCGACCUGGUAGGCUCAACACAGAUGUCUCUAAGCCCACGCUCCGAUGAGCAUUCUGCAGCAAGAAGCUAGGUGAGACUUGACAUGAGCCAGAGUGAGAUCCUUGACAUCCAUCAGCUCCAGCACCGACUUGGGCGUCGCUCCUGAUCAAAUAUAUCCAUGCUCGACGGCGUGGACGAACCGCGCGUGCAGCGUCGUCGUCCACCGCAUCCGCGGCGCCCGCACGCCCCGUCUUCCCGGCGGGAGCCUCGCCA